GACGAACGCUGGCGGCGUGCUUAACACAUGCAAGUCGAACGGAAAGGCCCUGCUUUUGUGGGGUGCUCGAGUGGCGAACGGGUGAGUAACACGUGAGUAACCUGCCCUUGACUUUGGGAUAACUUCAGGAAACUGGGGCUAAUACCGGAUAGGAGCUCCUGCUGCAUGGUGGGGGUUGGAAAGUUUCGGCGGUUGGGGAUGGACUCGCGGCUUAUCAGCUUGUUGGUGGGGUAGUGGCUUACCAAGGCUUUGACGGGUAGCCGGCCUGAGAGGGUGACCGGCCACAAUGGGACUGAGAGACGGCCCAGAAGCCUACGGGAGGCAGCAGUGGGGAAUAUUGCACAAUGGGCGGAAGCCUGAUGCAGCAACGCCGCGUGCGGGAUGACGGCCUUCGGGUUGUAAACCGCUUUCGCCGGUGACGAAGCGUGAGUGACGGUAAUGGGUAAAGAAGCACCGGCUAACUACGUG
rnacentral:rRNA from 1 species